rnacentral:misc_RNA from 1 species
AAAGUCGUAACAAGGUUUCCGUAGGUGAACCUGCGGAAGGAUCAUUACCAAUCCACCUUUAUAAACCACUGUGAACCGUUCCUGUCCUUGGGUGGCAGGAGGAUGCACUGUUUCAGUGUGUCUAAGCGCCGCCCAAACUUUUGUAAACCCACUUACAUUAACCUUAUCUGUUGAAACUUCUUUGCGGCUAUCUUAUGGCCCAAAGAUUAUAAUAAACAAAUACAACUUUUAACGGUGGAUCUCUUGGCUCAU